rnacentral:rRNA from 1 species
GAUGAACGCUAGCUACAGGCUUAACACAUGCAAGUCGAGGGACCGGCGCACGGGUGAGUAACACGUAUCCAACCUGCACUUUACUCGGUGAUAGCCUUUCGAAAGAAAGAUUAAUACCCGAUAUAAAGGAUGGGGAUGCGUUCGAUUAGGUUGUGGGUAAGGUAACGGCUAACCAAGCCUUCGAUGGAUAGGGGUUCUGAGAGGAAGGUCACCUACAUUGGAACUGAGGCACGGGCCAAACUGCGACGGGAGGCAGCAGUGAGGAAGAUUGGGCAAUGGGCGCUAGGCUGAACCAGCCAAGUAGCGUGAAGAAGGAAGGCGGAGGGGUAGUACACUUCUUUUAUAUAAGAAGAUGUAUUAUAUGAAUAAGGAUCGGCUAACUCCGUGCCAGCCGCCGCGGUAAUUC